GCAAGUCGAGCGGAAACGACAUUAUUGAUUCUUCGGAGGAUUUAAUGGGCGUCGAGCGGCGGACGGGUGAGUAAUGCCUAGGAAAUUGCCUUGAUGUGGGGGAUAACCAUUGGAAACGAUGGCUAAUACCGCAUACGCUCUACGGAGGAAAGCAGGGGCUCUUCGGACCUCUCGCGUCAAGAUAUGCCUAGGUGGGAUUAGCUAGUUGGUGAGGUAAUGGCUCACCAAGGCGACGAUCCCUAGCUGGUCUGAGAGGAUGAUC
rnacentral:rRNA from 1 species